rnacentral:rRNA from 1 species
CCUACGGGAGACAGCAGUGAGGAAUAUUGGUCAAUGGUCGCGAGCCUGAACCAGCCAAGUAGCGUGAAGGAUGACUGCCCUACGGAUUGUAAACUUCUUUUAUCAGGGAAUAAAGUGAGGCACGUGUGCCUGUUUGUGUGUACUUUAUGAAUAAGCAUCGGCUAACUCCGUGCCAGCAGCCGCGGUAAUACGGAGGAUCCGAGCGUUAUCCGGAUUUAUUGGGUUUAAAGGGAGCGUAGAUGGGUUGUUAAGUCAGUGGUGAAAGGUUGCGGAUCAACCGUAAAAUUGCAAUUGAUACUGGCAGUCUUGAGUACAGUUGAGGUAGGCGGAAUUCGUGGUGUAGCGGUGAAAUGCUUAGAUAGCACGAAGAACUCCGAUUGCGAAGGCAGCGUACUAAACUGCCACUGACAUUGAUGCUCGAAAGUGUGGGUAUCAAACAGGAUUAGAUACCCUAGUAGUC